CCCGCCCCGUCACACCAUGGGGAGGUUAAUUGCUCCAGAAAUGGCUGCGCUAACCCGCCGCAAGGUAGGAGGCAGGUCCUUAAGGAGUGNUUGGUAACUGGGGUG
rnacentral:rRNA from 1 species